UUCCUACGGGGCGCAGCAGUGGGGAAUAUUGCACAAUGGGGGAAACCCUGAUGCAGCGACGCCGCGUGAGCGAUGAAGUAUUUCGGUAUGUAAAGCUCUAUCAGCAGGGAAGAAAAUGACGGUACCUGACUAAGAAGCCCCGGCUAACUACGUGCCAGCAGCCGCGGUAAUACGUAGGGGGCAAGCGUUAUCCGGAUUUACUGGGUGUAAAGGGAGCGUAGACGGCUGUGCAAGCCAGAUGUGAAAGCCCGGAGCUCAACCCCGGGACUGCAUUUGGAACUGCGUGGCUUGAGUGUCGGAGAGGG
rnacentral:rRNA from 1 species